rnacentral:tRNA from 1 species
GGAGUUGUGGCUCAGUGGCAGAGCGCUUGCCUAGCAUGCAUGGGGCACUGGGUUCGAUCCUCAGCACCA